rnacentral:rRNA from 1 species
CCUACGGGUGGCAGCAGUGGGGAAUAUUGGACAAUGGGGGCAACCCUGAUCCAGCCAUGCCGCGUGUGUGAAGAAGGCCCUCGGGUUGUAAAGCACUUUCAGUGAGGAAGAACGCCUGGUGGUUAAUACCCAUCAGGAAAGACAUCACUCACAGAAGAAGCACCGGCUAACUCCGUGCCAGCAGCCGCGGUAAUACGGAGGGUGCGAGCGUUAAUCGGAAUUACUGGGCGUAAAGCGCGCGUAGGUGGCUUGAUAAGCCGGUUGUGAAAGCCCCGGGCUCAACCUGGGAACGGCAUCCGGAACUGUCAAGCUAGAGUGCAGGAGAGGAAGGUAGAACUCCCGGUGUAGCGGUGAAAUGCGUAGAGAUCCGCAGGAAUACCAGUGGCGAAGGCGGCCUUCUGGACUGACACUGACACUGAGGUGCGAAAGCGUGGGGAGCAAACAGGAUUAGAUACCCGAGUAGUC